UUCCAUGCAUGAUCUUGCUCCAUUGGAGUAUCGCGCAUGAAUAAAAGUGUAUCCAUUUAUGGUUUAGUCUAGAAUCUUCCAUUCAUCAUAAGUCUUUCAACAGUACUGUAGUAAAAAUUCAUACACCAUUUCUUACAUAUCCUCUGCCCCCUCCCAAGUCAUCCUGAUUUAAUCCCUCCGUCUAGGUGUAUAAGGGCAUGGUUAAUACUUAAAUAGUAUAGCCAACUGUUGAUUAUAAGAAAGUGCCAUGUCAUCUGUUGUGACGCCUCCGAUUCGACCAUACACUAAUCAUACACGCAAAUGUGUACGAUCAAGAUCAGGGACUCACGGGAAGAUAUCACAACACAACUCUAGACACAAAUAAAAUAAUACAAGCUUCAUAUUACAAGCCAGGGGCCUCGAGGGCUCGAAUAGAUAGCUCGAUACACAAGAGUCAGCGGAAGCAACAAUAUCUGAGUACCGACAUAAGUUAAACAAGGAUGCCUUAAGAAGGCUAGCACAAACAUCAACGAUCGAAAAGGCAAGGCCUCCUGCCUGGGACCUCCUAACUACUCCUGGUCGUCGACGGCCUCCAUGAAGUAGUAGGCGACAGGGUGGCAUCUGACUCCUGGGAUCCACCAUCUGGUUGCGACAACCAGAAAGAAGAAAGAAGGGGAAAGGGGGAGCAAAGCAACCGUGAGUACUCAUCCAAAGUACUCGCAAGCAUCAGAUCUAUACUAACUAUGCAUUGGUAUCAAAUGGAAGGUGUCGGUGUGGAACGACACCUAUGGGAUCACAAGAAUCCCUACUACAGUUGCCGGGGCGCGGGGUUGCCAGAAGAGCAGGGCUAGUAGACAGCACAAGGAUCGUUUACCCAGGUUCGGGCCGCGAGGAUGCGUAAAACCCUAGUCCUGCUUUGGUGGGUGUAUUUCAGAGAGUUCUUGAGCUCUCGAACUAGCUGUGGUCAGUGCGUGGUUCGAAAGAGCCGAAUCCUUCUCCAGUAUGCCAUGGGCCUCCUUUUAUAGUCGGAAGGGGCUGCCACAGUGGCACACAGGAGGUGGAAAGGCGUACAGUGCCCUAAGCUUAUCGCUCAUAUUACAGGACAAGACACAUUUAAUGCGUAGCUUAGGUGUCCCCCUGCUUUAUCGGGGACGAGGGCGAGGGCCGUCCCGUCCGUCGCUGCUCCUCCUUGCUUCGACAUGCGCCUUGGCCAGCGAUGCGUGCGGCACCAUGUAGGCAGGCAGGCAGCUGAGGUGGCGCGGUGGUGGAGCCUGCACGAAGAUCUGCAUGCCGCCACGCAGGCGCUCGAUGAGUGGGCCUGGGGGCUGCAUGUUGCCACGCAGGUGCCCGCCCAGCUGGUUGGGCUGGCAGCUGCAUGUGAACGGCAGUGGAAGCUUGGUUGGCGUGGGCCUGGCGGUAGCCCUGCUGGCGUCCUUUGGUGAGGGCCUUUUCGGGUGGCCCGGCAAGGGUCUUGCCGUGGCGCGCUGUCGUCCCCGGUAAGGGCUUUGCCGGGGGUCUUGUGGCCUUCCUCGGCAAGGAUCUUGCCGAGGAUCGUCGUCUUCUAAUCCUCAUCUGAUCUUGAAUAUGUCUUCACAAAGAUCUGCAUGCCACCACGGAGGUGCCUCCCGAACCCUGGCCCAACGUGAUGUUGGAGACCGUGGGCUCAAGGGUGGCCCGCUCUGUUGGUGCAGGGCGAGCUGUCCCGGCAAGGAUCUUGCCGGGGCUGCUGAGGCUCCCCGGAAAGGGUCUUGCCGGGGGAACCUGCUUCAUCCCUCUGCUCUUUGUGGUCUUGGCCUUGGCGUUGCUCUUAUUAUCUUGGGCCCUGGUCUUACCUUGGCUCACCUCCCCUGUUCUGCUUGGUGUGACCGUAGGCGCGGCUCCGACUGCCCGUGCACAGGUAUAGGGGUACAAAAACGCACCCCUCUUUUUGUACACCGACAAGAGCCCCCGGGCCUGGGCCACACAUAAGCGCGACACGUUGUUGGGCCAGGCCCAAAACGAUGCGCAGGCAGGCGGGGCGGUUUUUUUACCGUGGUAAGAUUUUUCACGCGCUGCGCUUCCCACGACCCGCGCGCGCGGCGCAGCGUGGAGGGGUGUGCGUGACGUGGGCGGCAUGCAUGGGGCGGUUUCCACACGCAUGCGUCAUAUCGCAGUAAAGAGGCAGCUCGCGCCUUCGCCAUAAAAAGAGGGAGCCGUGGAGGCGCGGCUCAUUUACUGAACGGGACUAGGUCGCGGUCUUCAAGGCGUCCACUCCCCACGAUCACGGGGUGGGGAGAGGUCGCUUCACCCAUCCCCUCAGUUCUGCACGUCAGCCACGCGUCCUUCAUGCACCUAGGGUGGCAAGCGGUGGAGGCGGGAAACCGGGCCGUCGCUGGUUGGGGCAGUGGGUCGGUCCUGAUUCCCUGCGCCUCCGGUGGCUGGAUUGGUCGAGCGGGGCGGCCGAGCCCUGACCCCGCCCCUUUUUAAAGAAGGAAAGGGGGAUGGGUCCCGCAUUCUUCUGUCAUCUACCUCCUCUUGCUUCUGCUUCUUCCUUUCACUCGCCAUGGAGAAAGGGAACCUGGGUCCCUCGACGAUGGCGACGAGGGUCACCGCUCGACAGCGCGUCCCUCCUCCUCCUGAGCCCGUGGUGGUGGAAGUGGUCACGAGGGGAAGGGGGAGGGGGCGAGGCCGGGGCAGAGGUCGUAGUGCUCGGGGAAGAGGAGGACGGGGCGGCACGCCGGCUUUGCCCCCACCAAUGGUGCCUUUCCGGAUGGAAGGCCAUGUCGGAGACCAGCCCCGCGAGUUCUUCAUUAGGCUGCGCCGGCCUCCGCGUCGCCGUCUUAGUCUUCCCGCCCCAUUUGCUGGGGAGAUGGAGCGUGACCGGCCCCAAUCCCUCAGAUUGCACAUGAGGGGUUGUGGGAAUGGGGGCACGCGGGCCGACGUCGACUUCCCGGCUCCUCGGGUCAUGUACCUCCGUCGUGGGUGGAAGACGUUCGCUCGCAUCCACAGCCUGACGGCGGGGCUCAUCCUCUACUUCAAAUUGAUGGAGGACGGCCUGCUCUCCGGCAAGGUCUUCGGAGACUUCGGGACUCGCCUGAAGUGCUGCGUGGAGAGCUCCUCCGAUGGAUAUUCCGACGAUGGAAGCUCUUCCUCGAGCGAAAGUGAUGAGGAGGACAGGGGCAGAUGACGAGGAUGAGUCCAACGAGGCGUCGGACGCCCCGCGCCUGGACGGGUGCGGCAGCAGCAGCAUCUGCACCUGGCCGCUCCUCCGGCAGGGUUUUGUCGGGGGUGGGGCCAGCUCCUUGAACUUCUCGGGGCCGUCUCCUUGGGCGGCUGGUGUCGGGAGGCUGCGGAAGAGGAAGAGGGUGGGCGGCAAGGCCGUCAACUUGGAGUAAGCGGGCACCAACGCCUUCGUCGCGUACUGUCGGUCCUGCCGCCUCGUCUUCCAGCUCCUUUCCCGGCACCGUCAUCACCGGCCUACCCAUGGGCGGCCACCGAGGUGUUCUCUUGGUGCUUUCUGCUGCUCGUAGCCCGCCUAGGCGCCCCUUUUGUCGUCUCGCCUCCUUGACCUGCCUCCUGAGGAGAGGGACAAGAAAGGGAUCACAGGCACCUUAUCUCUUUUUUAAUCUGUAAGCCUUCGGGCCUUGUUAAAUUUAAAGCUUGUAAUCCCCUUUGUUCAUGUUUUUCAUUCCGUACGGACUAUACCUGUUGUGGGAUGCUUUUAAUGAAAAAGGGAUGUUUGCCGGGUUUUUCGUUCGUGGGCAGACCCCGUGACAAGGAACGAAUCCUUGUUAUAAUUUAAGAUAAACAUUUUCACCCGGCAACAGGCCUUGCCGUCCCCCUACUUCGCUUGACCAUUCUCGCGCCCUUGGCGGAGGCAGCGAUGAAGCAGGCUUAGGCUCCUUGUUCUACUUCCUUGCCACCGCGGCUACAACCAAAUCCGGGGCCAGGAGAUAAGCCUUGGGUAUAGAAAAGGGGAGCACGGUGGCCUAGAAAUAAAACGAGGUUUCACAUAUCCUAGUUCCGUUCCAAAAUGCAUGAUAGAGGAUGAAAGACUUAUCUGGAUCUGGAGCCCCCGGCAACCUUGUCUUGCCGCGGUUGGAUCCUCGUGCUUGCAGCCCCCGGCAACUCUGGUUUGCUGGGGUCGGGAUGCCGGUCCGUUUCCCUUCUUCCAAGUAGCUCAGCAGAAGUGCUCAUGUGCCCUGCGAACCAAAGGAGGACAGAAAAGAAACAAAUUGACGCGCACUCGACCUCUAGGCUAAGGUUUAGUCGCCGCUAAGCACUACCAACCCAAUCCAAGGAAGAGACUCGACCUAGCAUGCAUGCUAUAACUUAGGGCGCCAGCGCUUCAUUUAUUUAUGCUCAGGGUCUGCGCCUGGCUUUGUACAAAGGGUUACAUGCCUUGUUGGCAAGGCUUGUACAAAAGGUGGCUUGCCGGGAGGCCCGGCAAGCUGCGCCUUACGGGUAAAACUUGCGAAGAUGCUCGAUGUUCCAGGAGUUGCUCACUGGGACAGCAUCUUCGGUCUCCAGGCGGACUGCGUCGGGCCUGGUGACUCGUAUUACCCGAUAAGGGCCUUCCCACUUUGGCGUCAACUUGUUGGAAUUCUUGGCCGACUGAACGCGCCGAAGAACAAGGUCGCCUUCCUCAAAGCUUCGGGUAUGAACCUUGCGGCUAUGGUAGCGGCGCAAGGCUUGCUGGUAGCGCGCUGCUCUCACAGCCGCCCGAAGACGAUCUUCCUCAAGGAGCGUUGCGUCAUCUUGGCGCAACUGCUCUUGCUCAAGCUCAUCAUAAGCGAGCACUCGAGGUGACCCGUAUAUGAGUUACGUGGGGAGAACUGCUUCUUCCCCGUAUACCAGGGCAAAAGGUGUCUGGCUGGUGGCUCGAUUUGGCGUCGUCCUGAUCGACCAAAGAACCGCCGGCAAUUCAUCAAUCCAGCGCCUUCCGCUCUUGCGCAGCUUGUCAAAAGUCUUUGUCCUUAGGCCUCGCAACACUUCAGCAUUUGCCCUCUCCGCUUGGCCGUUGCUCCGUGGGUGUGCCACGGAAGCAAAACAGACCUUGCUGCCGAGGUCUUGAAUGUAUUGCAUGAAGGUGUGGCUCAUGAACUGUGUGCCGUUGUCGGUGAUGACUCUGUUUGGCACACCAAAACGGCAGACCAGUCCCUUGAAAAACUUGACAGCGGAUUGAGCAGUCACCUUUCUCACUGCUUCCACCUCCGGCCACUUUGUGAACUUGUCGAUCGCAAGGUACAAGUACUCAAAGCCCCUGACAGCGCGGGGGAAAGGGCCCAGUAUAUCGAGCCCCCAGACCGAGAAUGGCCAGGAGAGAGGGCUUGUUUGAAGGGCUUGAGCUGGUUGAUGAAGCUUCUUUGAAUGGAACUGACACGCUUCACACUUGGUUACUAGUCCCGUCACAUCCUGGAGGGCGGUGGGCCAGAAGAAACCUUGCCGGAACGCCUUCCCGACAAGGGCCCUCGACCCUAUGUGGGAGCCACAUAUGCCUCCAUGUAUCUCCGCCAACAGCUCCAGUCCUUCCUCCCGGGGGAUGCACUUCAAUUUCACACCGUUUGGCCAUCUCAUGUACAGGACGUCAUCGACGAACUGGUACAGGGCGGACCAACGGGCUACUUUUUCUGCUUCUUCCUGCUCCUCAAGAAGCUCCCCUGUUUGGAGGAAUUGGACGGUAUGCUGCGCCCAUGCCGGAGCCUGGGGCUCGACGGCAAGCGCCAAAGGCAUUUCUUCCGCCAUGGGAGCGGCUGUUACUACGGCCAGGGCUUGACGCCCUGCCGGAGCCAGUUGCUCUUGGGCAGGCUCAGCGUCCGCGGCAGCACCCUUGCCGGCAGCCCUAGGGGGCUCGGUAGGAAAGUACUUGCCAGCAACAAUAUCUGAGUAUAGACAUAAGUUAAACAAGGAUGCCUUAAGAAGGCUAGCACAAACAUCAACGAUCGAAGAGGCAAGGCCUCCUGCCUGGGACCUCCUAACUACUCCUGGUCGUCGACGGCCUCCAUGAAGUAGUAGGCGACAGGGUGGCAUCUGACUCCUCGGAUCCACCAUCUGGUUGCGACAACCAGAAAGAAGGGGGAAAGGGGGAGCAAAGCAACCGUGAGUACUCAUCCAAAGUACUCGCAAGCAUCAGAUCUAUACUAAGUAUGCAUUGGUAUCAAAUGGAAGGUAUCGGUGUGGAACGACAACUAUGGGAUCACAAGAAUCCCUACUACGGUUGCCGGGGCGCGGGGUUGCGAGGAGAGCAGGGCUAGUAGACAGCACAAGGAUCGUUUACCCAGGUUCGGGCCGCGAGGAUGCGUAAAACCCUAGUCCUGCUUUGGUGGGUGUAUUUCAGAGAGUUCUUGGGCUCUCGAACUAGCUGUGGUCAGUGCGUGGUUCGAAAGAGCCGAAUCCUUCUCCAGUAUGCCAUGGGCCUCCUUUUAUAGUCGGAACGGGCUGCCACAGUGGCACACAGGAGGUGGAAAGGCGUACAGUGCCCUGAGCUUAUCGCUCGUAUUACAGGACAAGACGCAUUUAAUGCGUAGCUUAGGUGUCCCCCUGCUUUAUCGGGGACGGGGGUGAGGCCCGUCCCGUCCGUCGCCGCUCCUCCUUGCUUUGACACACGUCUUGGCCAGCGAUGCAUGCGGCGCCAUGGAGGCACGCAGGCAACUGAGGUGGCGCGGUGGUGGAGCCUUCACGAAGAUCUGCAUGCCGCCACGCAGGCGCUCGAUGAGUUGGCUUGGGGGCUGCAUGUUGCCACGCAGGUGCCCGCCCAGCUGGUUGGGCUGGCAGCUGCAUGUGAACGGCGGUGGAAGCUUGGUUGGCGUGGGCCUGGCGGUAGCCCUGCUGGCGUCCUUUGGUGAGGGCCUGGCAAGGGUCUUGCCGUGUGGCCCAGCAAGGGUCUUGCCGUGGCGCGUUGUCGUCUCCGGCAAGGGCCUUGCCGUGGGUCUGGUGGCCUUCCUCGGCAAGGAUCUUGCCGUCGUCUUCUAAUCCUCAUCUGAUCUUGAAUAUGUCUUCACAAAGAUCUGCAUGCCACCACGGAGGUGCCUCCCGAGCCCUGGCUCAACAUGAUGUUUGAGACCGUGGGCUCAAGGGUGGCCCGCUCUAUUGGUGCAGGGCGAGCUGUCCCAGCAAGGAUCUUGCCGGGGCUGCUGAGGCUGCCCCGGCAAGGGUCUUGCCAGGGGAACCUGCUUCGUCCCUCUGCUCUUUGUCGUCUUGGCCUUGGCGCUGCUCUUAUUAUCUUGGGCUCUGGUCUUACCUUGGCUCACCUCCCCUGUUCUGCUUGGCGUGACCGUAGACGCGGCUCCGACUGCCCGUGCACAGGUAUAGGGGUACAAAAACGCACCCCUCUUUUUGUACACCGACAGAAGGGUUGUAUCUGUGGACUGAAGUGCAGACUGCCAGAAUAGAGGGGAAGGCCUAGCCUAUCGAAGACUAGCAUCUUCAAGCAGCUCCAAGCAUCUGCAUGUAGAAGAGUAAAGAAUAGCAAUUUAUAAUUAACAAGCAUGUUCUAGUAUUAAUGCCCAAAGAUCCUACCUCGACUCCCUGCGAGAAAGCAAUCCCGGAGCCACAUAUCCAUCACAUAUCUCAAGUAUCCAUUUCUAGUUAUAUAAGAUCUGGAUACAAGUUUGAACGUCCAUUACCGUGGACACGGUAUUCGAAUAUAUAUCUUCCCUGUAGGGGUGCACCACGUUACCCAACACGCUCGAUCACUCUGGCCAGACACACCUUUCUGGGGUCAAUGCCCAGCCUCGGAAGAUCAACAUGUCGCAGCCCUACCUAGGCUCAGCAGAGAGGUCCCCGCCGGUCUACAUCCUAAGCGCCCCGGGGUCUUGGGCCCAUCGCCCAUUGCACUCCGGGUCGUUGCGCGUAGGGUGGAUACCAGCACCGCCUCGGAUGGCCAGCACGAUCCGACCAUGCCGCCAUGCUGAACUGGACGUCUGACAAAGCUUCGGCUGAUACUGCGACGUCGAGGCCCAUAUCUAUUCUCGCGUGGUGGUUAGUGCGUAAAGGCCAGAGGCCAACUCAGAACAAAUACCCAAACCUGUUAGCACAUUAUUAAAAGAAGUGACGGCUGUUGGGACAAGUCCGGAGCUAUCACCCCCUCCUGGGUGAUACUGCUAAAUAGCCAGCCGCCACCGUAACUCCUCGGGUGCUCUCUGGGCCCGCCCUACUUUCACCAAUGUCUCAAGUAAAGUCAAGGUAACCGUGUGUCCAGGCAUCAAGGGGAAAACCCGAGGAAUCACCCCCGGUGGAUUCCACUCAAUGUAAUCAUCAAGGUGAACAUAAGAGGGACCACCCUCGAGGUUCACACUUGAGGUGUUGCACGUCAGAGCCAUAUCGGAAUGGUGAAGGAGGAAAUCACCCUCAUUGACCACGACCGAAUAGCUACACUACAGAGUUAUCAUCAGGAGUGCGUUAUGAGGGAUCACCCUCGGCACUCGAUAGUAGCUCUGUAGAGUAGAGCAACUAAAGGGGCGUGAUGUGAUGUGAGGUGUCGGGCUCUGGUCAUCGAUCACGUUGAUCGAGUCGUCAAUGAUGAAGCAGGGGCAACAAGGACAAGGUGGGGGUCACUGAUGGAUCACUAACCAACCUAUACUAAGCAGUUUAGGAUAAGCAGGUAAGGUACAACAGCAGGUUACAAAAGUAGGCUAUGCAUCAGAAUAGGAGCAAUCAAUAACAGUAGCAAAAUCUAAUGCAAGCAUGAAAGAAUGGAAUGGGCGAUAUCGGGAUGAUCAAAGGGGGGGCUUGCCUGGAAGCUCCGCUGAAAGGGAAGAAGGGUCGUCGCCGAUGCAGUCGAUCACAGGGACAUCAGUAGCGGUCUCGGGGUCUACCGGAGAGAAGAGGGGGAAGAAACAGUAAAUAUAAUGCAAACAGAUGCAACACAGAUGCAUGACGGGGGUAACACGCAGGGCUAGGGGUGUUCUAACCCGGUGUUACACGAUACCGGAGAAGGGGGGAAACAUCCGGGAAAGUUUUCCCGAAGUUUGGCAUUUUCGGACAGACGAACUAGAGGAGAAAGGUUGCAUGUUCGCUAUUCUAGGGGCACGCGACAGAUUAUCGGAGAGCUUUUUCAGAUUGUCAUAUUUUUCUGAGCAACUUUCAUGUAUAAAACUUUUUCAUCCGAGUUACAGAUUAUUUUCUACGAUUUUCCAAAGUUUAAAACAAUUUCUGAAUUUAUUAUUAAUUCGAAUUAAAAUAGCAAAAAUGCUAAGUGCACCCGGUGUAGUGCACCCAGAGUGCACCCAGGGGCUGACAGCUGGGUCCAGGGGGUCCCAGUUGACCAGUCAAUGUUUGACUGGUCAACGGGGGGUAGGGUCCCCCUGUCACACACACAUUUAGCUAACUACUGAUUAAAUUAACUAAAUUAGUUUAAUUAAGAUUAAUUAAUCAUUUAACUAAUAAAUUAAUUAUUUUUAUUAAUAUAUAUUUUUAACAUUUCUUUUUUAUCUAAACAGGGGCGCGGGGCCCCCUGGCAGUGUCACAGGGGCCAGCGGGGCGUGCUACUGGGCGCGGGCGCCCGCCCGAACACGCACGGGCUUGAGGGCACGCCGUGGCCGGGCCGGGGCUGCGCCGGCGACGGCGACGGCAGGGACAUGCGUGGGCGGCCGGCGAAGGGGAGGUGGCCGACGCGGAUGGGGACAGCGCGGGCGCGGCGCGUGCGUAGGCGAAGCGGGCGGCGCAUGGACCCAGGCGGCCUUGGUCGCGGAAGCAGCAGCAGCACGGGCAGCCAAAAGUGGAACAGGGGCGCGGCCAACAGCAGCAGCAUGCGGGCGCGGUCGUGGCCGGGGCAUGGGCGUGCAGCAGCAGGGCAGCAACGACGCAAGGCAGCAGGUAGCGGCGGCGGGCGGUUGCAGUAGCAGAAGGAGCAGCAGGUGGGAGCAGUUAGGCAAGAAGCAUCGACAACAGCAGCUUAGAACAAGUACACCGGAGCAACUCACACGUACAAGCUAGCAAGCAAGCUAGCUAGGAGGUUAAUCGAUUAACAGUAGACACAGUCAUACAAUACGCGCCUCGCCAGAACUAGCUCUAGUUGAUUUCGAUCAACUCGACGGAGUAGAACAAGACAUCUAUUUUAUUCCAACAAGCAGUAGUGUACGGCUGCAGUAGAGGCAUAGCGGCGACGAGCGAGCGUUGGCGCCAGCGGCAUCGCGGGGGAGCAGCGGCAGGCAGCAGGCAGUUGCUGGUGUCGGGCGCCGGCUACAUGCGCGGGAGGAGGCGCACGAGCGAGGGCAGCCGCAGGGAAGCGCGGGCAGCAGUGGCGCAGCGAUAGCAGAAUUAGCAGAAGCAGCAGCGCCAAGGCAGCAGCAGUAGCUCAGAGCACGCACGCACAUACGUACGCGUACGCCCGAGAUCGGGCACGACGGUGAAGGUGACCUACGGCGUCCAUACGACGAGGAGGGACAGAGGGGUUGGACGGGGGCUCACCGGGAUCCCGUAGUGGUGCAAAGGUGGGCUCGGGGAGGAUCGACGUCGCCGAAAUCGGGGACGAACGGCGACUUCCGAAGGAGGAAGGAGAGCUCGAUCCCUGCGAUGUGGGGCUCUCCGGCUUGAUCUCGUGGGUCCAGGCUACGAAGUAGACCACGGCGAGGCAGAGGGACAUGUCCUCAGGCGCCGGGGAGGAGUGUAGCCACGUCGGCGAGGGCAACCAUGGCGACGAUGGCGUCGGGUGCGGCUGGAUCUGGAGGAGGGGAGUGUAGCAAGAGGGAGAGAGAGGAUGAGGGGGAGCGCGAGGG
rnacentral:lncRNA from 1 species